rnacentral:rRNA from 1 species
GACGAACGCUGGCGGCGUGCUUAACACAUGCAAGUCGUACGGUAAGGCCCUUUCGGGGGUACACGAGUGGCGAACGGGUGAGUAACACGUGAGUAACCUGCCCACAACUUUGGGAUAACGCUAGGAAACUGGUGCUAAUACUGGAUAUGUGCUCCUGCUGCAUGGUGGGGGUUGGAAAGCUCCGGCGGUUGUGGAUGGACUCGCGGCCUAUCAGCUUGUUGGUGGGGUAGUGGCCUACCAAGGCGGCGACGGGUAGCCGGCCUGAGAGGGUGACCGGCCACAUUGGGACUGAGAUACGGCCCAGACUCCUACGGGGGGCAGCAGGGGGGAAUUUUGCACAAUGGGCGCAAGCCUGAUGCAGCAACGCCGCGUGCGGGAUGACGGCCUUCGGGUUGUAAACCGCUUUCAGCAGGGACGAAGCUUUUUGUGACGGUACCUGCAGAAGAAGCACCGGCUAACUACGG